GCUUGCUCCCGGAUGUUAGCGGCGGACGGGUGAGUAACACGUGGGUAACCUGCCUGUAAGACUGGGAUAACUCCGGGAAACCGGAGCUAAUACCGGAUAGUUCCUUGAACCGCAUGGUUCAAGGAUGAAAGACGGUUUCGGCUGUCACUUACAGAUGGACCCGCGGCGCAUUAGCUAGUUGGUGGGGUAAUGGCUCACCAAGGCGACGAUGCGUAGCCGACCUGAGAGGGUGAUCGGCCACACUGGGACUGAGACACGGCCCAGACUCCUACGGGAGGCAGCAGUAGGGAAUCUUCCGCAAUGGACGAAAGUCUGACGGAGCAACGCCGCGUGAGUGAUGAAGGUUUUCGGAUCGUAAAGCUCUGUUGUUAGGGAAGAACAAGUGCGAGAGUAACUGCUCGCACCUUGACGGUACCUAACCAGAAAGCCACGGCUAACUACGUGCCAGCAGCCGCGGUAAUACGUAGGUGGCAAGCGUUGUCCGGAAUUAUUGGGCGUAAAGGGCUCGCAGGCGGUUUCUUAAGUCUGAUGUGAAAGCCCCCGGCUCAACCGGGGAGGGUCAUUGGAAACUGGGAAACUUGAGUGCAGAAGAGGAGAGUGGAAUUCCACGUGUAGCGGUGAAAUGCGUAGAGAUGUGGAGGAACACCAGUGGC
rnacentral:rRNA from 1 species